rnacentral:rRNA from 1 species
AUGCAAGUUGAACGAGAAAGGGUCGCAAUACCUGAGUAAAGUGGCGCACGGGUGAGUAGCACGUGACUAACCUACCCUGGAGUGGGGGAUAACUGGGGGAAACCUUAGCUAAUACCGCAUAACACCUACGGGUCAAAGGAGCAAUUCGCUUCAGGAGGGGGUCGCGGCCGAUUAGUUAGUUGGCGGGGUAAUGGCCCACCAAGACUGUGAUCGGUAUCCGGCCUGAGAGGGCGCACGGACACACUGGAACUGAAACACNGUCCAGACUCCUACGGGAGGCAGCAGUGGGGAAUUUUGCGCAAUGGGGGAAACCCUGACCCAGCAACGCCGCGUGGAGGAUGAAGUACUUCGGUACGUAAACUCCUUUCGAUCGGGACGAUUAUGACGGUACCGGAAGAAGAAGCCCCGGCUAACUUUGUGCCAGCAGCUCGCGGUAAUACNAGGGGGGCAAGCGUUGUUCGGAAUUAUUGGGCGUAAAGGGUGC